GUGGGGAAUAUUGGACAAUGGGCGAAAGCCUGAUCCAGCCAUGCCGCGUGUGUGAAGAAGGUCUUCGGAUUGUAAAGCACUUUAAGUUGGGAGGAAGGGCAGUAAGUUAAUACCUUGCUGUUUUGACGUUACCAACAGAAUAAGCACCGGCUAACUUCGUGCCAGCAGCCGCGGUAAUACGAAGGGUGCAAGCGUUAAUCGGAAUUACUGGGCGUAAAGCGCGCGUAGGUGGUUCAGCAAGUUGGAGGUGAAAUCCCCGGGCUCAACCUGGGAACUGCCUCCAAAACUACUGAGAUAGAGUACGGUAGAGGGUAGUGGAAUUUCCUGUGUAGCGGUGAAAUGCGUAGAUAUAGGAAGGAACACCAGUGGCGAAGGCGACUACCUGGACUGAUACUGACACUGAGGUGCGAAAGCGUGGGGAGCAAACAGGAUUAGAUACCCCGGUAGUCC
rnacentral:rRNA from 1 species